rnacentral:lncRNA from 1 species
GACUAACGGCUGGAACCGCCUAAGACACCACCCCAGCCAGCAUGGCCGGCAGGAGCGCACCGCGCUGUCUCCCUCCAGGGAUCCGCACCGCCCUACAAUCCUGCUUUGUGCUGAGAUUGUAGUCCUGCAGGCGUACAACUAACAAGCUGGGUGCAGAUAAGAGACUACAGCUCCCCGCAUCCCAAGCAAAGGUCCCUCCUCUACGGAGCCCCUCCACGCGUCCACUGCGGUUCCGCCGUGCCAAGGGGAGCUUGGCUGUUCACGGGCCUCACCUGCUAGCGAGAAGAUAGCUUGGCCGGGCGGCUGAUCUCACCUUGUAAUUCUGACACUGUGUCUCCCGGGCUUGUCGGCUUCAUGACUUGUGCCCAAAGUUUGAUUUCUCGCAGACCAGGAGGACCCAUUGGACCCCCGGGCUGGCUGCAGGGCCCACACCUGGGUUAGACCUCGCACAGGGACGCUGCUGCCACUGUAAUAAAGCGUGCCUACACGCUUCUGAAACUGGUGUAGGAACAACCUCAGUUCUGUGAAAGGCGGACGCAGCAGGACAGAAUCUCCGUGGACAUCUGUCUGGAGGAGCAAUUUUACUGCGACAUUUUAAAGAAACAAAUUUAAUUGAUUUCCAAGGGUGUCCAUCGCGCUUCCUUCACUGCCUUGAUCAUGUCGGGGUCACCACCUGCGGGGGUUUGUCCUGCAGACCCUGACUCAACGACGGAUGAAUAAUGUACACUGACACAGAUCUUAUGCUUGUCAGUCCUGCUGAGCAUCCAGGCCACUUACAGACUCCAAGAAGAGUCCUGUCAGCCACGGCUCUGACUUGUUGGCCCUCCCGGCAUUUAUUUAGCACACAUUUAAUGACAGAAGUCUCAGGCUGGAAACACUCUUUUUGUAGAACAUACAAAUGGACAUUUCUAAGCACAUUGAGGCCUAUAAUGAAAAAUCAAAUAUCCCACAAUGAAAACUAGAAGGAAGCUAUCUGUGAUAAUGCUUUGUGGUGUAUGGAUUCAUCUCACUGACUGAAACCUGAGUUUUGAUUCACCAGGUUGGAAACACUCUUUUUGUAGUUGAACGAAGGGACAUUUUUGAGUCCCUUGAGGCCUAUAGUAAUGAACAGAAUAUCCUGCAAUAAAAAUUAGAAAGAAGUUAUCUGGGAAAAUGCUUUGUGUUGUGUGGACUUAUCUCACAGUGUCAAACUAUUGUUUCCAUGCAACACUAUAAAUGCACACUUUUUGUAGAAUCUAUGAGGGGACAUUUCUGAGCCCAUUGAGGCCUAUAAAGAAAAACCAAACUUCCCAUGUUAAAAGCUAGAAACAAGCUAUUUGCG